GACGAACGCUGGCGGCGUGCUUAACACAUGCAAGUCGAACGGCAAGGCACUGCUUUUGUGGGGUGCUCGAGUGGCGAACGGGUGAGUAACACGUGAGUAACCUGCCCUUGACUUUGGGAUAACUUCAGGAAACUGGGGCUACUACCAGAUAGGAGCUCCUGCUGCAUGGUGGGGGUUGGAACGUUUCGGCGGUUGGGGAUGGAUUGGCGGCUUAUCGGCUUGUUGGUGGGGUAGUGGCUUACCAAGUCAUUGACGGGUAGCCGGCCUGAGAGGGUGAACGGCGACAAGGCGACUGAGGGACGGAGCAGUGGGGAAUGGGGGGCAGCAGUGGGGAGUAUUGUACAGCGGGACCAAGUGUGAGGCAGCAACGCCGGGGUCGGGAUGACGUCUUGUUGGUUGUGAACAGCUUUAGCUUGUGACGAAGCGGGAGUGACGGUAAUGGGUAAAGAAGCACCGGCUAACUACGUG
rnacentral:rRNA from 1 species